rnacentral:rRNA from 1 species
GAUGAACGCUGGCGGCGUGCCUAAUACAUGCAAGUCGAGCGAACAGAUGAGGAGCUUGCUCCUCUGACGUUAGCGGCGGACGGGUGAGUAACACGUGGAUAACCUACCUAUAAGACUGGGAUAACUUCGGGAAACCGGAGCUAAUACCGGAUAAUAUAUUGAACCGCAUGGUUCAAUAGUGAAAGACGGUUUUGCUGUCACUUAUAGAUGGAUCCGCGCCGCAUUAUCUAGUUGGUAAGGUAACGGCUUACCAAGGCAACGAUGCGUAGCCGACCUGAGAGGGUGAUCGGCCACACUGGAACUGAGACACGGUCCAGACUCCUACGGGAGGCAGCAGUAGGGAAUCUUCCGCAAUGGGCGAAAGCCUGACGGAGCAACGCCGCGUGAGUGAUGAAGGUCUUCGGAUCGUAAAACUCUGUUAUUAGGGAAAACAAAUGUGUAAGUAACUAUGCACGUCUUGACGGUACCUAAUCAGAAAGCCACGGCUAACUACGUG